GCCUGAUCCAGCAAUGCCGCGUGUGUGAAGAAGGCCUUCGGGUUGUAAAGCACUUUUGUCCGGAAAGAAAUCCUUGGUUCUAAUACAGCCGGGGGAUGACGGUACCGGAAGAAUAAGCACCGGCUAACUACGUGCCAGCAGCCGCGGUAAUACGUAGGGUGCGAGCGUUAAUCGGAAUUACUGGGCGUAAAGCGUGCGCAGGCGGUUUGCUAAGACCGAUGUGAAAUCCCCGGGCUCAACCUGGGAACUGCAUUGGUGACUGGCAGGCUAGAGUAUGGCAGAGGGGGGUAGAAUUCCACGUGUAGCAGUGAAAUGCGUAAAGAUGUGGAGGAAUACCGAUGGCGAAGGCAGCCCCCUGGGCCAAUACUGACGCUCAUGCACGAAAGCGUGGGGAGCAAACAGGAUUAGAUACCCUGGUAGUCCACGCCCUAAACGAUGUCAACUAGUUGUUGGGGAUUCAUUUCCUUAGUAACGUAGCUAACGCGUGAAGUUGACCGCCUGGGGAGUACGGUCGCGAGAUUAAAACUCAAAGGAAUUGACGGGGACCCGCACAAACGGUGGAUGAUGUGGAUUAAUUCUAUGCUACGCGAAAAACCUUACCUACCCUUGACAUGGUCGGAAUCCUGCUGAGAGGAGGGAGUGCUCCAAAGAGAACCGGCGCACAGGUGCUGCAUGAGUGUCGUCACCUCGUGUCGUGAGA
rnacentral:rRNA from 1 species